rnacentral:rRNA from 1 species
UGCCAGACUCCUACGGGAGGCAGCAGUGAGGAAUAUUGGUCAAUGGGAGAGAUCCUGAACCAGCCAAGCCGCGUGAGGGAAGACGGCCCUAUGGGUUGUAAACCUCUUUUGUCGGAGAACAAAACCCGGGACGUGUCCCGGACUGCGUGUAUCCGAAGAAAAAGCAUCGGCUAACUCCGUGCCAGCAGCCGCGGUAAUACGUAGGGGGCAAGCGUUAUCCGGAUUUACUGGGUGUAAAGGGAGCGUAGACGGCAGCGCAAGUCUGAAGUGAAAUCCCAUGGCUUAACCAUGGAACUGCUUUGGAAACUGUGCAGCUGGAGUGCAGGAGAGGUAAGCGGAAUUCCUAGUGUAGCGGUGAAAUGCGUAGAUAUUAGGAGGAACACCAGUGGCGAAGGCGGCUUACUGGACUGUAACUGACGUUGAGGCUCGAAAGCGUGGGGAGCAAACAGGAUUAGAUACCCUCGUA